AUUUUUGACAAUGGGGGCAACCCUGAUCCAGCCAUCCCGCGUGUGCGAUGAAGGCCUNNNGGUUGNACAGCACUUUUGGCAGGNAAGNAAAGGCGCCGGAUAAUACCUGGCGCCGCUGACGGUACCUGCAGAAUAAGCACCGGCUAACUACGUGCCAGCAGCCGCGGUAAUACGUAGGGUGCAAGCGUUAAUCGGAAUUACUGGGCGUAAAGCGUGCGCAGGCGGUUCGGAAAGAAAGAUGUGAAAUCCCAGGGCUUAACCUUGGAACUGCAUUUUUAACUGCCGGGCUAGAGUAUGUCAGAGGGGGGUAGAAUUCCACGUGUAGCAGUGAAAUGCGUAGAGAUGUGGAGGAAUACCGAUGGCGAAGGCAGCCCCCUGGGAUAAUACUGACGCUCAUGCACGAAAGCGUGGGGAGCAAACAG
rnacentral:rRNA from 1 species